UGUAGAAGGUUUGAACCUACACACCUCUUCAAAACUGAUAAUGAUCUCAUUUUGGAAGUCAAGACUUUAGUUCUAACUUGGGUUGAGGCUGCAGGUCAUAGGGUUCAUCAAAACUGCUCCUACACGGUUCUGUCUAAUUGGGAGGCAUUGUUUUUGUAAUUUCUCUUUGUUUGUAACGUAGCUUGGUUUUUUCUUUUCUUCUUCUGCCCCUGGUUUUUUCUUUUUCUUUUCUUCUUUUCCUCUUCUUUUAAUAAAUCCUCACUUUCAAUAAAAAAAAAAUACUUUUGUCAAUUUGAGCUCUAUGUUGGGGAAGACUUUCAUUCUGAUGCAGAUGCUUUGUGCGGAGGCUUGUGGUGGUAGUCCGUUUCCGGCGCUAAGCCAAAAUCCCAUGUACUGUGAUGUUGAGAAGAUGCUUCAUCGCUGCAUUUUCCUUCAAGAGCUUCCCUCGCCAUUGUGUUUGUUUAUUGAUAUCUUCCGUCUCGUGCAUAAAAAUAAAUAAAAAAUGAUAAUAAAAAUAAAACUUCUGCCUUUAUUGUGCGGUACGUAUAUCGAAAAUCCUUAAUGAAUAUAUUCAUUUCUGGACAUGAUAAGGUUUAAAGUCACUUCAUUCUGGUUUCGUUGUUUGUAUUGUGCGUUCAUCUCCGAACAGCCUGGUUUUGCGGUUUUUGUUGCAUGUCUACCAUCGCUUCGGUUAAGGCUUUCGCCAUUUUUAUAUUUCCCCGAAGGAGUUUUGAGUCUGUCUUUCUAUUUCGUUUUGUUCCCUUUAUGGUACUUGGUUUCUUUUGUGAAAAGACGAGGGUAACCAAAUAAACCACAAUGUUUUAUUU